UAUACUGUAGCUGAUGUUACAUAUCUUCCACCUCUUUUACUAUUGCUACCUAGAUUCAGGAAACAUAUAUCUCAACACUUUCUUACAAUUGCAAAUAACUAUGAAUUUAAUAGCUUCAUCACCCCACUUAGUACUUUCUACAUUGCAGGAUUUCAAGUAUUCAAAUAAUAACCUUUCUUGUAAGUAUGUGAUGGAUAUAC
rnacentral:lncRNA from 1 species